rnacentral:rRNA from 1 species
GACGAACGCUGGCGGCGUGCUUAACACAUGCAAGUCGAGCGGUAAGGCUCCUUCGGGAGUACACGAGCGGCGAACGGGUGAGUAACACGUGAGUAACCUGCCCUUCUCAUCGGAAUAAGCGUUGGAAACGACGUCUAAUGCCGAAUACGACUUCGGAAGGCAUCUUCUGAAGUGGAAAGCUCCGGCGGAGAAGGAUGGACUCGCGGCCUAUCAGCUUGUUGGUGAGGUAACGGCUCACCAAGGCGACGACGGGUAGCCGGCCUGAGAGGGUGACCGGCCACACUGGGACUGAGACACGGCCCAGACUCCUACGGGAGGCAGCAGUGGGGAAUAUUGGACAAUGGGCGCAAGCCUGAUCCAGCAACGCCGCGUGAGGGAUGACGGCCUUCGGGUUGUAAACCUCUUUCAGCAGGGACGAAGCGCAAGUGACGGUACCUGCAGAAGAAGGACCGGCCAACUACGUGCCAGCCGCCGCCUAA